rnacentral:misc_RNA from 1 species
AUAGAGCCGCGUUAGUUCCCGCAUACCGAACUCUUGUUUAAACUUUAAACUUACUAUUUGCAUAAAGUAUUCCUUCGACAAAAAAAUACAUUUACUCUACGGUUUAACUCCGAUCCAAAAUAAUAUAACCUACUACUAGUGCAAUAAUGACAUCGAAAGGAAAAUGGAUGUAUAAAAGCUAUUAUAGUAACUAAAAAAAAAUGUUAGAUGGCCCACGGGUGUACCUGCCCGCACAGGUAAUUGUACCGACGCAACGUACUUGUAGAUCGUGAUACCGUUUAUCCAAGCUGCCCAUGUAAAUGAAUUGCAAGCACUGCUGCAUCGCCUGGGGUGUAAUUAGUUUAGACAGCGUCACCACGGUCGUUGGUUGCUGCAUUCCAUUUGUAUUUUCAGUCUAUAAUUUAAUUGAACAAAAAAAGAAAACUGAGACUUACCAAGCAUACACGGAUGUUCUGGAAGGCAGGAUGAUUAAGUUCUCUAGUAGCUCCAGGUGGUUUCUUUUGGUUGUCCACCGUGGGCAGUACUUGGAAGCUUGAACGUCGCUUCAGUUGUUCCCAAACUCUACAAUAUGAUUUUCAUAAUUUGGUUAAUUGUGUAUAACGUCAUUGCAAUACCACGUUUUGAUUGAUCGAUACGAAUGAGGCAUUCGGUGUCAUCGUUGAAGUCACCCACUGUUGCUUCGCCGAAUGUACUCACCUUAAUACAAUUUUUUUAGGAAUGUUUGUAAGUAAAAUAUAAACAAUAAUUUAAAAAAUAAAAGAAUAAUAAGAAACAGAGAAUACCAUGCUAGAUUCGCUAGAGCUUCGAGGUGUUUGUUCUUGAACGAGUUCCAUAGAGAAAAGUCGAUGGAACGCGGGCGAUGCUGCGGCUAAAAGACAUCUGUGAGCGGAAAACGUGCAGUUUCCGGCUAUCAAAGUCACGUCAGUGUGAACUGGUUUUGUCCACAACGUUUUCAUGUUUUCUUCGUAAGUGCUUGCCGCCAAACACACUUCCGGUGGUACAGGUUUUGGUGGACAAAACGGUGCCUGAAAUAUAAUAUGCUCUAUUAAUUUAAAUAAAUUAAAUUAUCCUCUGUUAAAUUAGUCUUUUUCCAAACUGGUUUUUUAAUAAACAUGUGAAUUUUCUAG